CCUACGGGAGGCAGCAGUGAGGAAUAUUGGUCAAUGGGCGGGAGCCUGAACCAGCCAAGUCGCGUGAGGGAAGACGGUCCUACGGAUUGUAAACCUCUUUUGCCGGGGAGCAACGGGGUCCUUGCGAGGGCCCGUUGAGAGUACCCGGAGAAAAAGCAUCGGCUAACUCCGUGCCAGCAGCCGCGGUAAUACGGAGGAUGCGAGCGUUAUCCGGAUUUAUGGGGUUUAAAGGGUGCGUAGGCGGGCUGUUAGGUCAGCGGGAAAAUGUCGGGGCCAAACCCCGGCCUGCCGUUGAAACUGGCGGCCUCGAGUGGGCGAGAGGUAGGCGGAAUGCGUGGUGUAGCGGUGAAAUGCAUAGAUAUCACGCAGAACUCCGAUUGCGAAGGCAGCAUACCGGCGCCCGACUGACGCUGAGGCACGAAAGCGUGGGUAUCGAACAGGAUUAGAUACCCGAGUAGUC
rnacentral:rRNA from 1 species